GCCCCUGUAGCUCAAAGGACAGAGUGUAGGUUUGCGGAACCUGAGAUCGAGGUUCGAUUCCUCGCAGGGGCA
rnacentral:tRNA from 1 species